GGGCAGGGUGGCAAGGAGAGAAGGCUCUGGAUGGUAGAUUGAGGCCUCUGUACCCUGCUAAGCCUUCAUCCAUUGUCACAGUUACUCUUCACACCAAUCCACAAGGGGACUACAACGGUUACUGCCAUUUCACAGACAAGGACAUGGAAGCUCAGAGACAUGAAGUCACUUGUCCAAGGUCACACAGCGAGAAAAUGAGGAAUCCAGGUUUCAGGACCCAGAGCCCAAAGUCAUAACGAAUGGUUGGAACUGGGAAGAAACUUCAUGAUCUAUUGUGACAGAUUAGGAAUCUGCAGCCCAGAGAGGAGAUGUGAGGAGCCAGGACUACCUGGUGAACAGCCCCAGGGCUGAGCUGAACCCUCGCAUCUCCAGCCACUGGCUUGUGCUUAUUGCAGUUCCAUCCAAACUUCCAUAUUUUUAAAAUCAGUCUCUCAUACAUAUUACAAUCUCCUGAGAGCUUAUCUCCCCACUGUUCUCAUCUCUGCUUCCCUUCCUCCCUGUCCCCCCACCUCUGUGUUCCCUGUGGGUGCUAAUCCAUCACAACUGACUGAUCACUGACUGACUGUUGACAUAUGCCACCGCCCCUGCUUCAGCUCGUGGAGAAACUGCCUGUCACCAGGUGGGUAGACCAUCUCCAUGGGGAAUUCCCAGAAGCUGGGACAUGGCUGCAGCCUCUGAGCCCUCUCUUGUUGUUUGUGGGGGCCCAGCUUCAGGAUCCUGGCACCUGGGGAUCUCAGGAGGUGCUGUACAGCUUGAUUAGACCUACUGAGUGCCAGGCACCCAGCAAAGCAGUAGCUGGGGAGCCAGAAGAGGGUUCCAGUGUUUUAAGACAGAAAAUCUAGAAAGAAGCUAUUUAAUUUUAGCAUUACAAGUAAAUACAGUGUCA
rnacentral:lncRNA from 10 species